GUAGGUGAACCUGCGGAAGGAUCAUUGUCGAUACCUGGCCCAAAAAGAGAGACCCGUGAACAAGUUACAUAAUGAGCAAGGCGAAGGGUGUGGGGGUGUGACAGUCCCUUCCUCCCAGACCCUUGUAAGGUUUGAUCCGCGGACCUCCGUGGCAUUAGACCUAUAAAAACAAAUCCACCGGCGCGGUUGGCGCCAAGGAACUCACAACGGAAUGAGCGUGCCAUCGCCCGUGCCUAUGGUGGCAUGGUGUGUGCGUCGUCUUAAGUCCGAAUAUUCAUUAACGACUCUCGGCAACGGAUAUCUCGGCUCUCGCAUCGAUGAAGAACGUAGCGAAAUGCGAUACUUGGUGUGAAUUGCAGAAUCCCGUGAACCAUCGAGUCUUUGAACGCAAGUUGCGCCCUAGGCCAUCCGGCCGAGGGCACGCCUGCCUGGGCGUCACGUAUCGUGUCAACCCCCACUCUGUCGAUCCUUAUAGCGACGGAGCGUGGGAUGGAGAUUGGCCCCCCGUGCCGCCCCAUUGUUUUGUGGUCGAGGUGCGGUCGGCCCAAAGAAAGACAAGUCCCCUUGUGCGGCGAUCGUCGUGACGGGUGGUGGUCGAAAGCCACUUUGCCAUCAGUUCGGACGUCGUGUACGAUUCUUGCCCUCAUUGGGGCUAUUGUGUUGACCCUGAUCAUUUGUCGUCCAAGGAUGGCAUUUCGACCGCGACCCCAGGUCAGGCGGGGCUACCCGCUGAG
rnacentral:rRNA from 1 species